rnacentral:tRNA from 1 species
UCCUGUGUGUGCAAAUGGUUAAGCGCUUGACUACUAGCCAAAAGGUUGGUGGUUCAAACCCACCCACAGGCA